rnacentral:rRNA from 1 species
UACAGAGGGUGCGAGCGUUGUCCGGAAUCACUGGGCGUAAAGGGCGCGUAGGUGGCGACCCAAGUCUGUGGUGAAAGCUCGCCGCUUAACGGCGAGUCGGCCACGGAUACUGGGUGGCUCGAGCACUGUAGGGGCAGAUGGAAUUCCGGGUGUAGCGGUGGAAUGCGCAGAGAUCGGGAGGAACACCCGUAGCGAAGGCGGCACUCUGGGCCGGUACUGACGCUGAGGAGCGAAAGCGUGGGGAGCAAACAGG